rnacentral:rRNA from 1 species
GUCCAUGCCGUAAACGGUGGGCGCUAGGUGUAGGGGACUUCCACGUCUUCUGUGCCGCAGCUAACGCAUUAAGCGCCCCGCCUGGGGGAGUACGGCCGCAAGGCUAAAACUCAAAGGAAUUGACGGGGGCCCGCACAAGCGGCGGAGCAUGUGGAUUAAUUCGAUGCAACGCGAAGAACCUUACCUGGGCUUGACAUACACCAGAUCGCUGCACAAAUGUAGCUUCCCUUGUGGCUGGUGUACAGGUGGUGCAUGGUUGUCGU